CAGGCAGCACACAUAGGUUUCAAAGCCGUUUCAUAAACGUUUUGACGUAACGUUUCAUAACCAUUUUAUUGAAACGUCCAAAUGGAAUGAAAUUUCACCUUUUUGAAAAAGUGAAGUUACGCACUCGUUAUUUACUUCAAAAGAGUCCAAAAGAGGGUCCGAUGCACCUGGGAAAAAACCAGCGAUAAGCCAGUUAAUUUCAAGUUGCCGCUUAUUUCAGCAAACACGUCGAGUCCAAAAGAAGAGAAGAAGAAAGGAGUACUGGAUCGGUUUUCCGGAUUAUUUGUAAGGUGAUAACGCAAAUGUUUCUUGCGAGAACGUCACGCCUGGCCUGACCAUCUAUCGGUCGCUUGGUGAACCAAAGGCAGGAAAGACACACAACUUGUGUUGAUUUUUGUCUCUUGUUCCAUAAUCGAGUACAUUGAAACGUAUGAUAUAAAUAUAAUUAAUACUCGCAAAUUAAGUAGAAAUUGCUAUUCUUUCUAUAUUAAUUAUAUAAUUACAUAAGUUUGAAAGAUACGAAAAAUUAGAGGAGAUUGCCUGGUUUCGAACUCAAACUUUCGGGAUCCCUGGUUCCACACGCUACGUCUUAGCGUUCACGGCCAAUGCUCCAACUGUUGUCAUUGUAUUGUUUUUAUACUGAUCUUCUAUACGACCUGACGGUCUCGACUAUCUUCGAUAUCUUACAAUUUGAAAUCAAUUUAUUAAAAUAAAUUUUUCGUUUCUGUGGAAAAAUCUAAUUUUUCGCAUCUUUCAACAUCAGAAGUGGGAUAAAAUCCGCUACCCCUCGAAGAGGAGGGAUUUGAGAAGCAGCUUGCCGUUUGUGAAAAAUACGGUUUUUGAAAUUUAGGUCUAAAAACGGUUUCUAUUUAAACCGUUUUUUAAAUGGUACUUUAUGUUUCUUAGACAUUAGAUACGUCUAAGAAAUGUAUAUUAGGCUAACAUGUGCUGCCUGGAAUAUAUAUAUGUUUUUAGACGUCGUAGAGAUAUCUCAGAGACGUCUUAAAAAUAUUUAUGGCUUUUCGAUCAGGUAUGAAUAAAGAUAGUCAUGUGCAAAUGUUGCACAGAUAUCUUUUUCAAAGAAAAAUGUGAUAUAGAGUUAUGAGAUAUCCUACAGAUAUUCUGUGAAUAUCUGAAAAUAAAAUAUCUCAGAUAUGACUUAAAAUUGUAGGCAUAUACAUAUGCGAUUAUAUCAACUAAGUUAUUUUGCUGCGUGGGUAUAGUGUAUCUGUGUCGAGCUGUAUCGAAAAUAAAGGAUGAAGUCACAUGUCGCACAAACAAAACUUUUAAUAAUGCCUGAAUCGAUUCCGCGCAGCCAUAUCCAUUUAUCUCGUUGGACGAAUGCGCGCUACCGCGUUGAGACGCAAUGGGUAUUUUCUGGGAUCAGCGUCGUGUAAACUCCGCGCAAAAAUGACGGUUCCAGUAAUUAGACUCGUCUAUCGAGGUAUUAGUCAGCGGUUGUUGACGAUCUCGCGUUAUCAGGACGCGCGGCGUUAUUACAUGACGUGAGAGCGUUGUCAAAGUCAAUCCUCUGGCGAAUUAGCGCGUCACGAUAACGAAGGCACGCUAUAAAUCCGUAUUCAUCUCCGUAACGUGUUACAGAGCGUACGCGGACAAACGAGGACAAUCGGAUGAGGAUAGUAAAUGAUACACGCGGCGAAUAUUGUUUACGGAUUUAACGGUGAGUUUUAUAGUUUGAUCGAUGCGCAGAUUAAACCGGAUAUGUGGAUUUGAUCCAAAGCGUGAUUUGAUAUAUAUCGGUGGCGAGCAACCAAGUGCUAUUCAUUAUUUCCGCCGUGUACGUAUCCAUUCUGCAUCAGUCCCAGGUUGAAACGAUCAUUACGCUUCAUUCUGUUAUGUUUUGUACAGAUGCUCACUGCCUUUCAUGAGAAUUUAUUAUAUAUUUUAUCAAAUAUUUCAUAAAUACUCAAUUUUAACUAGUUGACACAGUCAAACUCCAAACUACAAUUCUUGCGACGUUCUAGUUAUUUAUAAAAGUUAUCCAUGAAUUUCGAUCAGGUUCCCGUUCUUAAUUGAUCGCAUUGAAUAUUUUGCUUUAACAAGUACAGUCCGAAUCAAAACUGCUAAACUGAAAUCCAUUUUCUAUUAAGAAAAUGCGCGCAGAUUCGAGAACGAUUCUAGAACGAAAUCUCAAGUUGACAAUAUUAUUAAGAUAAAUUCACGAUCGAUCUGUUUAUAAUGAGAUCGAUCGGCAAUUUAUAAUGUUUAUAAUGAGAACCGAUUAGCAAUUCUCGAAAUUUUUUUCGAAUUUUUUAAUUUUUAUUAAUUCGAAUUCUGGAACAUGAGAAGGUACCAGCUAAUAACGAAGAUUUAUUGCAUAUUUCAGUUGUACAACAAUGACAGGGAUAGAGCGUAGAAGGAAGGUAUAAUAGCCACCACCAUCCAUAUUGACAUGCGCGCGAGCUUGUGCAGAACGUUCAGUGUGGCCGUAAUAACACACUUCCAGGACCUUCUACAAUAGCUAACGCGAAAAAUAUUGCUUUCAAUAACGCGAAGGAGAACGAAGGACACUCUCCGUCCGAUCGUCCUAUUAGAUCGAAAGGAGUUUUAAUAAACGAGCUGUCGCAUUUACGAGAAUUGGAGUACCGUCCGCCAAGCGUGAAAUGCCACCUUUCUUUAACGAGCCAAACGGAGUGGUUGGAAAUUGCCGUAGCAAAAUGCUCCGGGUCGUGUCUACUAGAACAAAGCAAUUUCGUCAAUUCGCAUGAAGAAAGACAUACAGAGAAAGAGGUGACAAAGGAAGAAGAGAGAAAGAGAGAGAGCGAGGGAAGGGGGAGGGAGCGAGGAAGGAAGAAAGGGAGAGAGGAUUGACUGAUGGAAAGAGGUGAAAGACAGGUGGAGAAGAGAACGAAGAAGAGAGAAAGAGAAGUUCGCGCAUGCGAGGAAAGAGCAGAGAGAAUGGGAGAUAUAGAACGGGAGACGAGAACUGUCACGGACAAACCUUCGGUCAAUUAUAAGUUGCUUCAGGACGUGCCUCACUUACGGGAGACACCUCCGCCCCCUCAUACUAUAUUCUUAAUAAACCGAGGCAUAGAUAAGGUUGUCCCUACCCUGCACGUCAAAACGCAAAUGUUUCAUGAGGAUGUAACAAUGUUAUGAACUCUAUCCUCGAGAAUUGUUCUCGCUGUCGAGAAUCUUUCUCUUUCGCGGAUUACAUUAUACCAAAUAUAAAAAAUACAA
rnacentral:lncRNA from 1 species